rnacentral:rRNA from 1 species
UACGUAGGGGGCUAGCGUUGUCCGGAAUCAUUGGGCGUAAAGAGCGCGUAGGCGGCCAGAUAAGUCCGGUGUGAAAGUCACAGGCUCAACCUGUGAAUGCCGCUGGAAACUGUCUGGCUAGAGUCCGGGAGGGGCGAGUGGAAUUCCUGGUGUAGCGGUGAAAUGCGCAGAUAUCAGGAAGAACACCCGUGGCGAAGGCGGCUUUCUGGGACGGUACUGACGCUGAGACGCGAAAGCGUGGGGAGCGAACAGG